AGGGUAUAGACCCGAAACCCGGUGAUCUAGCCAUGGGCAGGUUGAAGGUUGGGUAACACUAACUGGAGGACCGAACCGACUAAUGUUGAAAAAUUAGCGGAUGACCUGUGGCUGGGGGUGAAAGGCCAAUCAAACCGGGAGAUAGCUGGUUCUCCCCGAAAGCUAUUUAGGUAGCGCCUCGUGAAUUCAUCUCCGGGGGUAGAGCACUGUUUCGGCUAGGGGGCCAUCCCGGCUUACCAACCCGAUGCAAACUGCGAAUACCGGAGAAUGUUAUCACGGGAGACACACGGCGGGUGCUAACGUCCGUCGUGAAGAGGGAAACAACCCAGACCGCCAGCUAAGGUCCCAAAGUCAUGGUUAAGUGGGAAACGAUGUGGGAAGGCCCAGACAGCCAGGAUGUUGGCUUAGAAGCAGCCAUCAUUUAAAGAAAGCGUAAUAGCUCACUGGUCGAGUCGGCCUGCGCGGAAGAUGUAACGGGGCUAAACCAUGCACCGAAGCUGCGGCAGCGAACGUAUCACCCAAGACAACUUUACGGAGUUGACGAUUGACGGAGCGAAGCGACGUCAAAGCGUUCAUUAAAGUCGAGUUGGCUUAGGGAUACGUUCGUUGGGUAGGGGAGCGUUCUGUAAGCCUGUGAAGGUGUGUCGUGAGGCAUGCUGGAGGUAUCAGAAGUGCGAAUGCUGACAUAAGUAACGAUAAAGCGGGUGAAAAGCCCGCUCGCCGGAAGACCAAGGGUUCCUGUCCAACGUUAAUCGGGGCAGGGUGAGUCGACCCCUAAGGCGAGGCCGAAAGGCGUAGUCGAUGGGAAACGGGUUAAUAUUCCCGUACUUGGUGUUACUGCGAAGGGGGGACGGAGAAGGCUAUGUUGGCCGGGCGACGGUUGUCCCGGUUUAAGCGUGUAGGUGUGUGUUCCAGGUAAAUCCGGUUCACUUUAACACUGAGGCGUGACGACGAGGCACUACGGUGCUGAAGCAACAAAUGCCCUGCUUCCAGGAAAA
rnacentral:rRNA from 1 species